AGGUGCGAUCAUACUAGUACUAAUAAAUCAGAUUCUAUCAGAACUCCGCAGUUAAGCGUACUUGGAUGAAAGUAAUAUUAAGGUGGAUGAUCUUCUGGAAUUCUUGGGUUGCACUUU
rnacentral:rRNA from 1 species